UACAGAGGUCUCAAGCGUUGUUCGGAUUCAUUGGGCGUAAAGGGUGCGUAGGUGGCGGGGUAAGUCAGGUGUGAAAUCUCGGGGCUCAACCCCGAAACUGCACUUGAUACUGCCUUGCUCGAGUACUGGAGAGGAGAUUGGAAUUUACGGUGUAGCAGUGAAAUGUGUAGAUAUCGUAAGGAAGACCAGUGGCGAAGGCGAAUCUCUGGACAGUUACUGACACUGAGGCACGAAGGCCAGGGGAGCAAACGGG
rnacentral:rRNA from 1 species